UUGAAAGUAUUCACUUAAACAUUAAUUUAUAUGUAAAUUUUUGUAAAUUAUAUUUCUAGAUGGAAUUUAAAAUAUUCAAAGGCAGUAAAUGAUAUUAUUUAUAUUAAAUUGUUUUAGAUUUGGUAAAUGUUUUUAAAAUUUGGAAUAUGCUGUGCCAGCAUCUGCGGUUAUACAGCAAAGUUAAGUGAAUAUUUUUAGUUUUUAAAUAAUUAUUAUUUUAUUAUUUAUAUAAAAAUUAAUUUAUUUUGUGGUGAAAUAUUUAAUGUUAUGUGUUAUUAUAUAUAUUAGUAUGAUUAUUAUGAAAUUGAAAUUAUAAACUAGGAUUAGAUAACCUAUUAUUUUUAUUGUAAAGGAUUUUAUAGGCUGGAGUAUUAAUAGAUAAAUCUUUAAACUUAAAGAAUUUGGCGGUACUAUAGUCUAUUUAGAGGAAUCUGUUAUGUAAUUGAUAAUCCACGUUGAACCUUACUUAUAUUAUUUCUUGUAUACCGUUGUUUAAGAUUAUUUUUUAAGAUUAUUUUCUGAAUAUUAAAUUAUUUAAUAUUUCAAAUCAAGGUGCAGUAAUAUAUAAGUUAAAUAAUGGAUUACAAUAAAUUUUAUUUAUACGGAUGUAUAUUGAAAUAUAAUGUGAAGGUGGAUUUAAUUGUAAUUUUUUAAAUCUUAUUAAAAUGAUCAUGGCUCUAUAUUAUGUACACAUCGCCCGUCACUCUCAUUUAUAAGGUGAGAUAAGUCGUAACAAAGUAGGUGUAUCGGAAGAUGUACCUAGAAAGAAAUAUUUAAUUAA
rnacentral:ncRNA from 1 species